rnacentral:rRNA from 1 species
GACGAACGCUGGCGGCGUGCUUAACACAUGCAAGUCGAACGGAAAGGCCCCUUUUUUGUUACUCGCGCGGCUAACGGGCGAGUAACACGUGAGUAACCUGCCUGUCACUUCCUUUUAACUUCCUUCAAGUAGGUCUAAUUCCUGCUAGGAAGCCUUGCUUCCUGGUGGGUGUGGGAAAGCUUCUGUGGUUGUGGAUGGACUCGCGGGUUACUUGUCUGCUGGUGGGGUGGUGGCUUACCAAGGCUUUGUUUGGUGGCCGGCCGGGGGGGGGGGACGGCCCCAAUGGGGCUGGGAUACGGCCCAGGCUCCUACGGGGGGCAGCAGUGGGGAAUUUUGCACAAUGGGCGGAAGCCUGGUGCAGCCACGCCGCGUGCGGGAUGACGGCCUUCGGGUUGUAAACCGCCUUCAGCAGGGGAGAAGCUUGUGGUGACGGUACCUGGAGAAGAAGCACCGGCUAACUACGUG